rnacentral:tRNA from 2 species
GGCGAGAUGCCGGAGUGGUUGAACGGGGUGGUCUCGAAAACCGCUAUACCCGUAAGGGUAUCGGAGGUUCGAAUCCUCCUCUCGCCG